ACGCACGCUGGCGGCGUGCUUAACACAUGCAAGUCGAACGGAAAGGCCCUGCUUUUGUGGGGUGCUCGAGUGGCGAACGGGUGAGUAACACGUGAGUAACCUGCCCUUGACUUUGGGAUAACUUCAGGAAACUGGGGCUAAUACCGGAUAGGAGCUCCUGCUGCAUGGUGGGGGUUGGAAAGUUUCGGCGGUUGGGGAUGGACUCGCGGCUUAUCAGCUUGUUGGUGGGGUAGUGGCUUACCAAGGCUUUGACGGGUAGCCGGCCUGAGAGGGUGACCGGCCACAUUGGGACUGAGAUACGGCCCAGACUCCUACGGGAGGCAGCAGUGGGGAAUAUUGCACAAUGGGCGGAAGCCUGAUGCAGCAACGCCGCGUGCGGGAUGACGGCCUUCGGGUUGUAAACCGCUUUCGCCUGUGACGAAGCGUGAGUGACGGUAAUGGGUAAAGAAGCGCCGGCUAACUACGUG
rnacentral:rRNA from 1 species